rnacentral:snRNA from 1 species
GUGCUCACUUUGGCAGCACAUAUACUAAAAUUGGAAUGAUACAGAGAUUAGCAUGGCCCCUGGGCAAGGAAGACAUGCAAAUUCGUGAAGUUUAUAGAGCUGUC